ACAUCCUCAACCCCCCGUCUUUUUUUUCAUUUUUGUUAGUUUGAUUAUCUGCAAAUUGAUGUGCCAUGACCCAGUAGAGGCACAUCCGAGUUUUGUGUUUAGUUUUCUCACCCCAAAUUGCAUCCCAUGACCCAGUAAACUAGUACAGAUGACAUGCCAUGACCCAGUGCACUAGUAGAUAUGUCAUGGCAAUUUUCACCCCCAUUCUGUACCAUGGUAUUUUUGUGAUAUGUAGUUUUCGAUCUGGUUCAGAACUGGUAGGGAUAUUCUAGGGCAAUUUCCAAUAUGCAGUGAACGGCAAAUUUAGAAUCGUUCCACCACAAUUUUUCCAUUUUGUUUUCUUAGGGAGAACCAAAUUUUGCCGCGCCAAAUUCAUACGUUCUGCCAUCACUACAUAGGAGUUCUUUUUUGCCAUGCCGUAGUUUUGCCAUCAAGUUUUACAUUUCUGUCAUAGUUUUGAUGUGUCAAUCGCAUUAUUUCUUCAAGCUGAUGCAUUUUAUUUUUGAAUUUUCAUGUAGCUAGCUGAGUAAUGUUAUGUCCUAUGAAAUUCGGUGACUUUCGUAACAUGGCAUUUCUGUCACAACAAUUCCAUUAUUUUUUGUCACAUGGCAUAUUCUGUCAUUUUUCAUUUUCCUAGUCUUUUUGUUCAUAACUUGGCAAAUUCAUUAAUGGUCACAUGGCAAAUUCAGCUAUGGUCAAAUGGGAAAUAUAUUAGAAAACUAUUUAACAUACAUGGCAAGUUUCUUUUUAAAGCAUGGCAAAUUUAGUUCAUGGAUCAUGGCAAAUUUUACUAAUUCACCAUGGCAAAUUUAGUUUAUGCAUCAUGACAUUUUUACUAAUUCACCAUGGCAAAUUGUAGUUAGAGACAAUAAUUCUAAAUUGUUAUAAUAAAGUUGCCAUGGCAAACUAUAAAAAGAAAAUAAUUCUAGGUUAGUUAUCAAGAAAGUUGCCAUGGCGAAAAAUUGUAAAUAGAGACAGUAAUUCUAAGUUGUUACCAAAAAUUUGCCAUGGAAAUUUGUUGAGACAAAAAUAAUUCUAAGUUGUUAUCAGAAAAGUUGCCAUGGCAAAUUAUAGAGAGACACAUAAUUCUAAGUUUCUAUCAGAAAGUUGCCAUGGAAAUUUCGUAGAGUGAUUUUUUUAAGUUGACAUCAGAAGGUUGCCAUGGCAAAUUGUAGAGAGAACUAAUUCGAAGUUAGUUAUCAGAAAAGUUUCCAUGGCAAUUUUAAGAUGUUAAAAAACAUGGCAAGGUUUUAGAUGUUCAAAAACAUUCCAACUUGCCAUGGCAAUGUUUCAGAUUUUCAAAAACAUUCCAACUUGCCAUGGCAACGUUAUAGAUGUUGAAAAACAUGGCAAACUUGCCAGGGCAACUUAAGAUGUUCAAAAAUAUGGCAAACUUACAGAUGUUCAAAAACAUGUUAAACUUGCCAUGCCAUUUUUAAAAUGUUCAAAACCAUUUGCAAACUUGCCACGGCAAACUAAAGAUGUGCAAAAACAUGGCAAACUUUUUUUAUUAAGUUCAUACAUAAAUAUGGCAAACUUCUUAAGAUGUUCAAAAACAUGGCAAACUUGCCAUGGCAACUAAAGAUGUUCGAAAUCAUGGCAACCUAAUAUGCUGAAAAACAUGGCAAACUUGCCAUGUCAACUAAAAUCACUAUUUGUUUGUAGUUGUGUUUUUUCCCACGACAACUUAUAUAGCCAUGGGUAAACUAACUUUUAAAUCCCAUGGAAAUUUUAAAUUAACUUGUAUAGCCAUGGGCAAUUAACUUUCAAAGCCCAUGGCAAAUUCACCAUUUUAUUGACAUGGCAAGUUUUGUUUCUUAUGUUUGGCAUGGCAACUUUUAUCCUUUAUCGCCAUGGCAUUUUUACUUAUGCAUGCAUGGCAAAUUUUACUUAUCAUUUACGACAAUUUUUACUUCUCAUUCUCCAUGGCAAAUAUACCUUCAUUUUUUGCCAUGGCAAUUUUCAGUUAGUGGAAAUAAUGCAUAAUUUUGCCAUGUUUUUUGUGCACCGAAUAUGCAUAAAUUUGCCAUGUCCUGGAAUACAUAAAUUUGCCCAUGUGACAAGUCUGAAAAUUUCAUAGUUUUGCCAUGUGACCAGGCAUGGAACUUGCCAUGCUAUGAACAAAUUCCAUAAACUUGCUUUUUUGUGACUAGUACUCCAAAAAAUACAUUCUACAUUUUCCAUUAUUCAGAUUGUAGCAUGGCAUUUUCCAGUUUAUUGGCACGGCAAUUUUUACUUUUCUUUUUUGUCAUGGGAAUUAUUUUUUGCCAUUGUAUUUUUGAAUUUUUUGCCCUGGCAACUUUCCCAUGCUUUUGUUAGGAAUCAAAUAUGUUGUAAACCUUGCUAUUUGUAAAAUUAUAUCAUGGAAAAUCAUAAAAUAGUUUGGUCAAACUCGAAUGGUACUUUUUGAAAUUCUCCCUGGCAUUUUUCUGCUUCUAAAGUUGAUGACAUUUUUUUUGUAGUAUAGCAAAAACUAGUCUUUUUAUUUGUCACAGAAAAAGUAAACAGAAUCUGGGCUUCUUCUUUUGUUGUGCUAUUGGGCUUUUUUUUCUUUUUCAUUUUACAUGAAAAAGGCCCGGGCCUGGGGAGGGCGUUCGUGAUUUCGAUGCUCUCUCCUCCCGAAGGCAAAUUUGACAAAUUUGACCUAGAGACGAAAUCAAAUCACAGAAUGAACUGUCCGUGAAACUAUUUCACGCGGCUGACCCGUGGCGCCUAGCUCUCAGGCGCUGCACUAGUGCAACACCUGGGAGCUAGGCGCUGCACUAGUGCAACGCCUGGUAGCUGGGCGCUACACUGUAUAGUGUGGCGCUUAGCUCUCAGGCGCUGCACACUGACUUAGUAAUUUUCUGAUCACACGGGUGCGACGCUGGCCGUGUAGCGCCUAUCUGUGAGGCGUUGCACAGUGUAGUGUGGCGCCUUCGUGUCGGGCGUCACACAAAAAGGUCAGCCGCGUGAAAUAGUUUCACGGAUAGUUCAUUCUGUGAUUUGAUUUCGUCUAUAGAGGUCAAAUUUGUCAAAAAUUGCCCCUGCCGAACGAAAGCGUUCGUGAGGGGUCCAGACCGAACAUUCGGGAGAUAUCGGCGUCCUAUUUGUUUUGUCGCUGCGACUGGGCCUGUGUGUUCUGGUCCCGCCUGUAAGUUCAAAGGGUAGAAGUGGGUCGGUUCAUUUGAAACUUACAGCGCCUCGGUGCCUGGGUUUGUCAGGGAUGCACUAUGAUCACAUUCGCUGAACCAUCGUGGUGGGUGGGUGCGCAGCCCUCGCAGUUUUCUCCCCCCGCACCCCUCUCCUUGCCGAUCUCGCCAGUCGCUUGUCCUCAACCCCACCUUCAGCUUGCCUCUCGACCUUCCUCGUUGCUCACUUCGCCUGGCUCCGCCUUCCCAUCCCCACGGUGGAGUGCGAGGACGAGAUGACGACCGGGUCAUCCGUCAGCCUCGCCGCCGGGGAGCAGUCGGCCCGCGGUCGCGCGGUGCUCUCCGGCCCGCCGAACACGGUCCUGGCAUCGUCCGCGUCGGCGAUGGGCCCGUCGAUGUCGGCCCCCUCGGCGCUACGAGGGGCAAGGGCAGCCACGGCUCGCACGAGAUGCAGCUCCUGCUCGUGGAGUUAAAGGCCGGUGUUGGGGCCCUCAGCGGCGAGGAGGACGACUUGUCGUGUGUACGCAGUUUUCCUCCCGCUCGUGGAGUGCGCGUUUCGGGCCAGCCUCGAGGGUGGCCGUCCGGACGGCGACGAGCUUCGUCUCUGCAUCCAGACCUGCGACGCCGGCAGGCACGCCACUUCUUCGCCCCUCAGUCGCCGGUGCUUUCGUUCUGUCUACGGCGAUGGGGUUGCUUCCUCUGCUCCGUUCAUGUCGCUGAGGUUUUGUGAUGUUUGCCUGUUUCUCGCUCUGGAGUAGGUCCCUGCGUCAAUCUUGCCUUCGGCAUUGAGCAACUCAGCAACAGGGACUGAUCAGCAUGUGCAUAAUGCUCGUUGGUGACUAUUCCUUGCUUUCUUAUCACAUAUAUUGCAAGGCAUCUUCUUCCCGUCUCAGUAAUCAAAAAGUGCACCAUUGGACUGAUGUACCGGAAAGGGUAGUGCCACUGGAGAUAAUUAUUUCAGAUCACCUUCUACUUGAUGGAAGUCAUUAUCAGAAUGUAUGCAUACAACAACAACAACAACAACAAAGCCUUUAGUCCCAAACAAGUUGGGGUAGGCUAGAGGUGAAACCCAUAAGAUCUCGCAACCAACUCAUGGCUCUGGCACAUGGAUAGCAAGCUUCCACGCACCCCUGUCCAUAGCUAGCUCUUUGGUGAUACUCCAAUCCUUCAGGUCUCUCUUAACGGACUCCUCCCAUGUCAAAUUCGGUCUACCCCGCCCUCUCUUGACAU